CCUACGGGUGACUGCAGUCGAGAAUCAUUCACAAUGGGGGAAACCCUGAUGGUGCGACGCCGCGUGGGGGAAUGAAGGUCUUCGGAUUGUAAACCCCUGUCAUGUGGGAGCAAAUUAAAAAGAUAGUACCACAAGAGGAAGCGACGGCUAACUCUGAGCCAGCAGCCGCGGUAAUACAGAGGUCUCAAGCGUUGUUCGGAAUCACUGGGGGGAAAGCGUGCGUAGGCUGUUUCGUAAGUCGUGUGUGAAAGGCGCGGGCUCAACCCGCGGACGGCGCAUGAGACUGCGGGACUGGAGUGAUGGAGGGGGAGGAGGAAUUCUCGGUGUAGCAGGGAAAUGCGUAGAUAGCGGGAGGAACACUCGGGGCGAGGGCGGGUUGCUGGACAUUAACUGACGCUGAGGCACGAAGGCCAGGGGAGCGAAAGGGAUUAGAUACCCGGGUAGUC
rnacentral:rRNA from 1 species